CCUACGGGGGGCUGCAGUGGGGAAUAUUGGACAAUGGGGGCAACCCUGAUCCAGCCAUACCGCGUGUGUGAAGAAGGCCCUCGGGUUGUAAAGCACUUUCAGUGAGGAAGAACGCCUGGUGGUUAAUACCCAUCAGGAAAGACAUCACUCACAGAAGAAGCACCGGCUAACUCCGUGCCAGCAGCCGCGGUAAUACGGAGGGUGCGAGCGUUAAUCGGAAUUACUGGGCGUAAAGCGCGCGUAGGUGGCUUGAUAAGCCGGUUGUGAAAGCCCCGGGCUCAACCUGGGAACGGCAUCCGGAACUGUCAAGCUAGAGUGCAGGAGAGGAAGGUAGAAUUCCCGGUGUAGCGGUGAAAUGCGUAGAGAUCGGGAGGAAUACCAGUGGCGAAGGCGGCCUUCUGGACUGACACUGACACUGAGGUGCGAAAGCGUGGGUAGCAAACAGGAUUAGAUACCCUGGUAGUC
rnacentral:rRNA from 1 species